rnacentral:lncRNA from 1 species
ACAACAACAACCCAUUCUGUUCAAUUUCGUUCCAAUCAAAGGAUGUCAACACUGGUUUUGCUGUUGUGAAAGAAUUGGGGAAAAAAAAAACAUAUAUGGGCUUUGAGGAGGUGAGAGGGAGAAAGAAUUGGGUUUUGUGAGUGGGUUGGAACGAGAGAGAGCAUAUGGUCUGGAUCAUAACCCAUGAUUUGGAGGUGGCUU